ACAAAAAACAGGGUAAACAAGACUCCUUCUCUCUACCGGCUUAAUCACCUGAACAACUCAGAACACCCUCCUUCCAAACUAUCAGGCACCCUCUUAUUGCAAUGAAGGGAAUAAAGUCAGUCAGACAUUCGCUGCGAAUGGCUUCUGAAGAUGAUCUAGCCCUUCCCCUCUCAUUCCUCAGAUGAGAAGACUGAGGCAAAGAGAAUGAUCAUCCAACUUCACCAGAACUGGCAGGAAAACUAGGAUGAGCUUGAGCCUCCUUAGGAGUGUCAGACAUGGUCCUGAGGCAGUGUCCAAGCCAACAUGGCUGUCGAUGGAAAACGCUGGGUGACAGCACUAGAAAAUGCAUCUGCUUCCAGUCCAGUGUCACAAACCCUAUCUCUGCAGAGAUCACAGACUAAGAAACCAGGAGAUAUAUUAAAGGGCCUUCAAAACAUACUGACAGCUAUUGACAUGUCUCCUCUUUUAUGCCCCAGCAGAAUAUUAAAAGAGAAAAGAAGAGAAUUAUAUAUGAUUUUCCCAGCCAUGAUGUUAAUUGCCUUAAAAGGAAGUUAUGUACCCAGUGAAGAAUGGGGCCAUCCAAGUGGCCUGAAGCUAAGGAAUUCAGAAUGACAUACACCUCGGAUCAUUUAAUGUGGUAAAAUAGGCAAGAAGCAGGAGUGAUUCUGAAUUUCAUGUACUGUGAAAGUAUAAGUAUCAUCUGUGUUGAAAUGGAAGAAAAACCCCUUGCAUUUGAAAUAACUCAAAACCCGAUGUUCUUCAGCUGACCUAAUCACAGAGGAGAAUACAAGGAACAAUGAGAUACACUGUUUGCCUUUACAGAAACUGAAUUGGGUGCGAGGGCUUGUCCGUGUGGGGAUGUGACUGACCAUUGACCUGGAAACCAAUCACUGACCCUGACCUUGGAAUGCUGUCCACCUCGACCUUCAUUGGAUGGAAUUUUCCCCUGGAUUUUUUGUUUCCCAAUAAAAGCCCACUCUCUGGCGUGCUCUUCCUCUCUCCUGCUGGUCUCUUGUGUAAACCUCCCUGGAGAAGCCGUCUCUUAGCUGGGCAAGAAAAAAGGUAAAUUGAGUUUUAUGUGUCUUUAAUUUGAUCUCACUAGUUAACUUCUAUGUUUGGAACCUCUAGUAUGAAGCUAGCGUGCUGGUCACGCGGCAGAACACAGGAAUGUUCAGACAUGAUAGAUUAUGAGAGCUGUAACCUCACCAUUAAAUUAAUCCAUUUUAUGGAUUAAGAAUUUGAAUGGAGGGCUGGGGUUGUGGCUCAGUAGUAGAGCGCUCACCUAGCACAUGUGAGGCCCUGGGUUCGAUCCUCAGAACCAUAAAAAUAAAUAACAUAAAGGUAUUGUGUCCAAUUACAACUAAAAAAUAAUUUUAAAAAAAGAAUUUGAAUGGAUUAUUGGGUGGUGUCUAUGCAAAGGUGGAGGAAUGCUGGAGAAAGGAGGUCACUGGGGGUGUGGCUUUCUUCCAUUACGUUGUUCUGCCUCACCUCUGGCCAAGAGCCUUGGAGCUGACCAACCAUGAACUAAAUCUCUGAACCUAUCAGCCCCAAAUAAACCUUUCCUCCUCUAACUUGUUCUUGUCAGGUGUUUUGAUCACAGUGAUGCAAAGCUAAUCAACACUAUAUCACUUUUGCAAAACAUGGAAAAUACUGCACAAUUGAAUGUUGAAACCAUAUACAUUUGAGUAUAACUAAAGAUGGCUGCAUUUGAACAGUACAUAGUGUGUAAUACAAUAUGUGUAUAAAGCAAGGUAAAGAAAGAGUACUCCUAUUUGCUAGUACUUGCAUAAAAUAACUGAAACAGGAAAUCUUAAUUUGCUUCUAGGAUGUAAGAAUGGGGAGGGUUCUCUUUGUAUAUCCUUUGUGAUUCUAUUUUUUUUUUAAUUUGACUUGUUUAAGUGAAUUACAUAGUCUAAUAAACAAACAAAAUCAAAUGACCUCAAAUUAAAUGAUUA